rnacentral:rRNA from 1 species
UACGUAGGUGACAAGCGUUGUCCGGAUUUACUGGGCGUAAAGAGCGCGCAGGCGGUCGUUCAAGUCGCGUGUGAAAGCCCCCGGCUCAACUGGGGAGGGUCACGCGAUACUGAUCGACUGGAAGGCAGGAGAGGGUAGUGGAAUUCCCGGUGUAGUGGUGAAAUGCGUAGAUAUCGGGAGGAACACCAGUGGCGAAGGCGACUACCUGGCCUGUUCUUGACGCUGAGGCGCGAAAGCUAGGGGAGCAAACGGGG